rnacentral:sRNA from 1 species
UAUCUCUCCGUACGGGGAAGGAUGAGAAGCUUCGACUAAGGUUCGAUUCGAGCGCAGCGAGAAAGCGUUGCCGCAGGCAACGACCCGAAGGGCGAAGCGCGCAGCGCUGAGUA